ACUACUACUACUACUACUACUACUAUUGGACCAAAUGUUUUCAAAUAGGUUUCACUAAUGUAUACUAAUUCUUUUAUUACCAGAAUAUCUCAACACAUACUUUUUCAAACAACAUGUCAACAUGGGUAAAAUAUUUAUCAGUAUUAUCAACCUUUAAUACAAAACUACCAUCAAUAACGAAACAGGCAUAAAGAACUAUGCAGUGCCACCAAAGAUAUUAAUCACACGAUGGUACACUUCAGUGUACACUUCUGACAGAACUGGAUCAUUAAACCAUGAAGAAUGAAAUGAGGGCUUCCAAAUACAUUGUUGGCUUUAUCGAUCUCUUUGUUGUAUCUCACAUCAGCGUAGAGAACAUCAAGACAGUUACAGUCCAAUAUAUGUUCUACAGAAUUUUUAGAAAGACGAUGAUUAAAUACCUUUAAUUAAUUCAUGCACCAGGUAUUAUCAAUUAAGGAAUUAUGUGAUUUUAAAAAAUGUUAUUAUUUUUUUAAUCAGAACAAGAGAACAUGCUGUUCAGAUUUGUGAUCAAAGUUAUCAUGUAUUUGUGCAUGGAUAUAAUAAUGACCGGCUGUUAUAUUUUGACCCAGUGAGGCAUCUUGUCAUAUUGGUGGUAGUACACUUUCAUAUUGGAGAUCUCUGAGGGCUUUUUAUCAAUUUUGUAUUAAACCGGUAGAUGUAUAUAUAAAUGAACCAAUGAUCAUUGUACUGCUUUUUUCUUUCAUGUUGAUUCUAGUCUUGUAAGUUUUAGAAGAACUUUGUUAAACAUUAUAAAAUAGUGUAUGAUAUUUUAGAUUUUUUAAAAUACUUUUUCUUCAAUGUGAAGACAGUUGAUAUAUUUAUUUCAUGAACAACUGUGUACUACAUUCAUUACCAAAUUUUCCCAAACAUUUUGUCCUAGAUUUGGGCUUGUUUAUCACAGUGUGCUUGACACUAAAAAAGUAUUCAUUUCCAUCUGUGUUGAGUCCAUUGAAUACAUCUAGAUUAAGCAGUGUCCUACAAACAGAAUCCUUGUUAGUAUGGACCCUGCUAAUCUGAAGAUUUAUGCUGGGGAUGCUUUCAUUAGUACAAUAAGACAUGAAUCUGUACUCGUUAUUUGUUAAACUGGACAGUCACUAAUCCAGACAUGGAAUUCUACAGACUGGUUUUACUUGAUUUCACUGUCUAAUAAAAACAUCUCCAGCUGAACCAAUGUACAUUUGAUUCCUUUACCCACAGGGACGUGGGGUAGCCUUGUUAAAGCGUUUGCUUGUCACGCCGAAGACCCGGGUUUGAUUCCCCACAUGGGUACAAUGUGUGAAGCCCAUUUCUGGUGUUCCCACCGUGAUAUUGCUGGAAUAUUAGCGGCAUAAAACUAAACUCACUCACUCACUCCUUCACCCACAGCUGCAGACACAGAAAUGAUAAUCCUUUCUGAAUUAAAUAAAUAACAAGUUGGACUUGUUCCAGUAGUUUCAGAUGUUUUCAGGCAUGCACUUGUUUUCACUUAUAUUACAUACAUCACUUUGUAUACUUGUGGUAAAUAUUGUUUUCUUGACAAAGUUGAAUACAUGCUUAGCUAUGAGUUACUUUCUCUUAGUCUUCCCUGUGGAUUCAAGAGAGUAUGGACAUCUUUGUUGUCAUUAUUUAUCUGGGUUUUGUUUCACAAAGUGAACUUUGCACCAUGGCUUUUGUCUCUGUGCUAAGAUCGCCUUUGAACUUUGCUCAGGUGUAAAUGUGACAUUUGAUAUUUAUCAAGAAAAUAUUCUUAAAUAAUUUAUUUAUUUGAAUUGCAUGAAUUUGUGUUCUCUUGUUUAUGGCUGUAAAUAGUUCUCUUGUUCAUGGGAAUAUGAGAAUCUCAUGUCUUUGCAAGCUUAUUGUUCAGAAAUAUGAGUUAUCAGUUUUCUUGCCAUUUCCUUUUGAAAGAAUGCUGUGAUUCAGAUGGAACUUCCAAGGAUUGGCAGAUUUAGAAAGUUGUUGUGUUCCUUCUACCAAACAAUCUUGGCUUUGCAACUGUCGUCAACCUAUGUGAAAGUAAGAGGUUGCGACAGUUUCUCAGCUCUGAUCACUUUAUUUGGGAUGGCAACUCUGGAAUUCUGCAAUGAUUCAUCUCUGAUACAUACAGAUCCAUCUCUGUUUGCCAUUGCAACUCUACGUCCGCAUGUUCUAGUCACAAUGCUUUAGCAGGUUUUCACUCAGUGUUAUUUAUUCACGAUCUAAUUUUGAUACUUUUGUAUGCAUAAUCAGCACUCUUUGACUUUUCAGCCAUAUCAUGAACAAAGUUUUAAGCCUUAAUGAAUCGGGGCCAUAUUGUACAUAUUUUUAUCAUGUUGUUUUUCAUCGGUAAAUCACAAGAAAUGCUUAUCAUCAUAUAUUCACAAGUGACGUGACAUACAACUUGACCAUUUAUUUAAUAUCUACGCAGCCGAACAGUAUUAAUUGCUGAUAUUUAACAUUUCAAAUUAUUAAAUUAUUUAUUCAACAUCAAACAUUUUGAUUCUGUUAUACAGUGUGAUUGGUCGAGCCCAUUCCUUCAAACAAACAUUGGUCGCUAGUUUGUUUGUAAUGGUAAUAUGAUGGUAAGAAUUAAUUGUGACUUAUAGAUGACAUAUGUUAGCUCCUUGCGUAGCUUAUGGCUUGUGUGCAAUGUGAGUACUGUGUUAUUUUCUCAUUUACACUUUGUUACCAUUUUAUGUACAAUAACAAAGUAAAAGUCCCAUAAUGAAAACAGGAGAAUUUUGUGGAUUUUGACAACUGAAACAACUAGUUAUUUUAAGUAUUCACUGUAAAUUAUUUUUAAUGUCAGUAAAAUCUCUCAAGUUGCGUUUGAAAUGCAAAGUACAGCAAACAGUAUAAACAGCUUUGUAUCCACCAUUCUCGGAACAAUAUCUCUUGUUUUCCAUGUACAUUUACAUUAGGAUUCAAAGGGUUAUGACAAAUGUUGGAUGUGUAAUAUGAACAAAAUAUCCGUAGACUCCUGUACAUUUGGGAUAUUGAUCUGUUACGCUGUGCUUUGGAUUUGUUAAUUCUUGUUUAACCAAAAACUCAUGACAGAACUUGUGAUUUGACAUGUUCGAUCUCAGUUUCUCCUCACGAAACAAGGAGUGUAUAUACCAGUUACUGUCAUAGUACUGGAGGUGUACAUUACUGCCACAGUACUGAUGCUGAACUGGUUACUGUCAUAGUACUGGAGGUGUACCAGUUACUGUCAUAGUACUCGAGGUGUACCAGUUACUGUCAUAGUACUGGAGGUGUACAGGAUACUGAUACACUACUGAUGCUGAACUGGUUACUGUCAUAGUACUGGAGGUGUACCAGUUACUGUCAUAGUACUGGAGGUGUACAGGAUACUGAUACACUACUGAUGCUGAACUGGUUACUGUCAUAGUACUGGAGGUGUACAGGAUACUGAUACACUACUGAUGCUGAACUGGUUACUGUCAUAGUACUGGAGGUGUACCAGUUACUGUCAUAGUACUGGAGGUGUACAGGAUACUGAUACACUACUGAUGCUGAACUGGUUACUGUCAUAGUACUGGAGGUGUACCAGUUACUGUCAUAGUACUGGAGGUGUACCAGUUACUGUCAUAGUACUGGAGGUGUACCAGUUACUGUCAUAGUACUGGAGGUGUACCAGUUACUGUCAUAGUACUGGAGGUGUACAGGAUACUGAUACACUACUGAUGCUGAACUGGUUACUGUCAUAGUACUGGAGGUGUACCAGUUACUGUCAUAGUACUGGAGGUGUACAGGAUACUGAUACACUACUGAUGCUGAACUGGUUACUGUCAUAGUACUGGAGGUGUACCAGUUACUGUCAUAGUACUGGAGGUGUACCAGUUACUGUCAUAGUACUGGAGGUGUACAGGAUACUGAUACACUACUGAUGCUGAACUGGUUACUGUCAUAGUACUGGAGGUGUACCAGUUACUGUCAUAGUACUGGAGGUGUACCAGUUACUGUCAUAGUACUGGAGGUGUACAGGAUACUGAUACACUACUGAUGCUGAACUGGUUACUGUCAUAGUACUGGAGGUGUACCAGUUACUGUCAUAGUACUGGAGGUGUACCAGUUACUGUCAUAGUACUGGAGGUGUACAGGAUACUGAUACACUACUGAUGCUGAACUGGUUACUGUCAUAGUACUGGAGGUGUACCAGUUACUGUCAUAGUACUCGAGGUGUACAGGAUACUGAUACACUACUGAUGCUGAACUGGUUACUGUCAUAGUACUGGAGGUUACUGUCAUAGUACUGGUAGUGUACUGAUUGUUGUGACAGAACUGGUGGUGUACCGGUUACUGAUACUGUACUGUCCACGGUCAUAGUACUGAUAUUCUACUGGUUAUUGUGACAGUACUGGUUGUGUACGUGACCUUCCCCAGAACAGGUGUGGUAACCUUUGUCUGAUUAUUCCAAUGGACCUUACAACUCAUGUAAUCUUUGAAUGCAGGACAAUGUUUGCUCAAUUGUCAUCAUGGUUUCUGGCUGAUAAUUCUGGUAUUAUCUCG